GAUGGCCUAGUGGGUAGAGCGUCCGCCUCAGAUGCGGGAGAUUGCAGGUUCAAUCCCCGGUCAAACU